rnacentral:rRNA from 1 species
UGGGGAAUAUUGGACAAUGGGGGCAACCCUGAUCCAGCAAUGCCGCGUGUGUGAUGAAGGCCUUAGGGUUGUAAAGCACUUUCACUGGUGAAGAUGAUGACGGUAACCAGAGAAGAAGCCCCGGCUAACUUCGUGCCAGCAGCCGCGGUAAUACGAAGGGGGCGAGCGUUGUUCGGAAUUACUGGGCGUAAAGGGCGCGUAGGCGGUCUUUUAAGUUAGGCGUGAAAUCCCCGGGCUCAACCUGGGAACUGCGCUUAAGACUGGAAGACUAGAAAACGGAAGAGGGUAGUGGAAUUCCCAGUGUAGAGGUGAAAUUCGUAGAUAUUGGGAAGAACACCAGUGGCGAAAGCGGCUACCUGGUCCGAUUUUGACGCUGAGGCGCGAAAGCGUGGGGAGCAAACAGG